UACAGAGGGUGCGAGCGUUGUCCGGAAUCACUGGGCGUAAAGGGCGCGUAGGUGGCGCGACAAGUCAGUGGUGAAAGCUCGACGCUCAACGUCGAGUCGGCCACUGAUACUGUUGGGCUUGAGCACUGUAGAGGCUAAUGGAAUUCCGGGUGUAGCGGUGGAAUGCGUAGAGAUCCGGAAGAACACCGGUGGCGAAGGCGAGUCCCUGGACAACACCUGACACUGAGGCACGAAAGCUAGGGGAGCAAACAGG
rnacentral:rRNA from 1 species